AACGAACGCUGGCGGCAUGCCUAACACAUGCAAGUCGAACGAGACCUUCGGGCUUAGUGGCGCACGGGUGCGCAACGCGUGGGAACCUGCCCUUAGGUUCGGAAGAACUCCCCGAAAGGGGUGCUAAUACCGGAUAAUGUCUUCGGACCAAAGAUUUAUCGCCUUUGGAUGGGCCCGCGUUGGAUUAGCUAGUUGGUAGGGUAAAAGCCUACCAAGGCGACGAUGCAUAGCUGGUCUGAGAGGAUGAUCAGCGACACUGGGACUGGGACACGGCCCAGACUCCUAGGGGAGGGAGCAGUGGGGAAUAUAGGACAGUGGGCGAAAGGCUGAGCCAGCAAUGCCGGGUGAGUGAUGAAGGCCUUAGGGUUGUAAAGCUCUUUUACCCGGGAUGAUAAUGACAGUACCGGGAGAAUAAGCUCCGGCUAACUCCGUG
rnacentral:rRNA from 1 species